rnacentral:tRNA from 1 species
GCCCGGGUGGUGAAAUAGGUAGACACAGGGGAUUUAAAAAUCCCCCGCCCACAAAGCGUGCCGGUUCGAGUCCGGCCCCGGGCACCA